UUAAUGCUAAAAAACAGGGGUCUCCAACCAUGCUCCUGGAAAGCGACUGUCCGGCAGCGUUCAGCUCCACUUCUAAUCAAACACACCUGUACCAAUUAAUCAAGUGGUCCCGGGUUACUUGAAAAUGACAGACAGGUGUGUUGGAACUAAAGUAUGUAUGAAGGUAGCCCUCCAGGAACAGGGUUGGGGAUCCCUUCUAUAAACAUACAUUAUUUAGUAAAAAGUUAAACGUCGUUUUCAGGAAACAAAAUCAACACGAAAGGUCUCCAUCCAAUUCUUUCUGCUCCCAGAGCACAGUGACCGAACUCCAAAGGGGAGAGAGGAACUUAGACUGCUUCAGGCAGGCCUUGGGCGAAGAGUUGUGUUGUUGCCAGAAAAAUGUGACCACAAAGAGAUUGUCAGUGUCCUUGAAGAGGAGUUUCACAAAAUGAAGCAGCUGUCUGGUGGUUGGCUUUGCUAUAAAGCUGCAGGUGGGUGUGGCCAGAGAAAACUGACUGUGGUGCCACCUGAGUCCGAGGGCUACACAGCAAAGUCUUU